UGUGAUUGUUUUUUCGAUUUUUAUUAGAACGAUAUUUAUAGAUGCCUGAAAACUCAUUGGUAGAUAAGUAUUGUUUUCUCGUUUUUACUAGUGUCUGAUCAGACUAAACUGGUUUAAACAUUAUGAUGCAUCUUCCGCCCAAUUUCUUUUAAGAUAGCUAACGAAAAUCAAUUAAAAUAAACAUGGACCAACCGAGUUUAUGAAUCCACCAAAUAUAGUGGGAUUAUAAAGAAGAAGAAAAUCAACGAAGAAUAAAGUGAUAACAGUACAUGAUUUUCCUUUUCCCUCUUUACUUUCGUCUCUUACUGCCUUAAAUUAUACACUGCAUUUCAAAUUGUCAACUAUAUUAUUGAUUUCUUUUGGCAUGAACACAUAUAGGGCGUAUUACUUCGACAGUCUAACAUUUACUUAUACCAAGCUUCUCAAAAUUCGUUUAUAGUACUCGUCUUCGCCAACAAAUAACUUAACAAUUUACGUAUGGAUAUGUUGUUAACAGAACGUCUGGACUCAAAACGGAAUCCACAAAGUGUUAUCUUCGAGAAUACUCUAGAGCCAGUUUAGAUCUUGCUAGUUAUUUUUAAAUAGAAGUUAUUGAAGGUUGCCGAGCAAUACAAGUGUGAUAUAGUAAUGUUGAAUCUGAACCAUUUAUUGUCCACUAGUAAAUGUGCAAGAAUUAAUCCAUUUAUUGUUUCCAUGUAAAACAUAGAACAGAUAGCGUAACAAACAACAUCGUACUUUAGCAUUUCACUUUGAAAAAUUUUAGUCAGAGCUUCUUGUACAUUGUUAUCAAGGGUCGUAAAUGAAUUAUGUUAGCUUUCUGGAGUGUCUGCUAGACUUAAACAAUUGGAUUUUAGAAAACUAAAGAGUGUAGCCCCUAUUUAAAUCUAUUUAAUUGUAAUAGCUUGAAUGCUACUCAAAGGCGUAAAUCCUUUUUUAAGCGCUU